rnacentral:rRNA from 1 species
AGUAGCAAUACUUCAGAUGGCGACCGGCGCACGGGUGAGUAACACGUAUCCAACCUGUAGAUGACUCGGGGAUAGCCUUUCGAAAGAAAGAUUAAUCCUUGAUGGUAUAAAGAGUUCGCAUGUUCUCUUUAUUAAAGAAUUUCGGUAAGCGAUGGGGAUGCGUUCCAUUAGAUAGUUGGCGGGGUAACGGCCCACCAAGUCUACGAUGGAUAGGGGUUCUGAGAGGAAGGUCCCCCACAUUGGAACUGAGACACGGUCCAAACUCCUACGGGAGGCAGCAGUGAGGAAUAUUGGUCAAUGGACGAGAGUCUGAACCAGCCAAGUAGCGUGAAGGAUGACUGCCCUAUGGGUUGUAAACUUCUUUUAUAUGGGAAUAAAGUAUUCCACGUGUGGAAUUUUGUAUGUACCAUAUGAAUAAGGAUCGGCUAACUCCGUGCCAGCAGCCGCGGUAAUACGGAGGAUCCGAGCGUUAUCCGGAUUUAUUGGGUUUAAAGGGAGCGUAGGUGGAUUGUUAAGUCAGUUGUGAAAGUUUGCGGCUCAACCGUAAAAUUGCAGUUGAAACUGGCAGUCUUGAGUACAGUAGAGGUGGGCGGAAUUCGUGGUGUAGCGGUGAAAUGCUUAGAUAUCACGAAGAACUCCGAUUG